UCUUCUCUUCCAGGUUCCCCAAAUGCCUUUCCAGGCUAGAACCCAGGCUGUGAUCUGCUGGCUGGACACAACAGAGAAGACUUUUGCUCUGGCACACGGGCAGCAGCCUCAAAAACCUGUUCACCAUGUUUGAAAACAUCAGUCACACACCAAUAGGGCAAGAAGGCAGAAGAGAACCACAGAAAACUUGUCUGCUUUUCCGAGGGAUGGAACAGGUGUGUCGAUGCAUGUGGAUGUAAUUCACUGAGAGUGAGCCCUGAAACCUUAUCACAGAGAGACAGGUCAGAAACCUAGCUGAAGGGAAUGUCACCCAGCUGGUGCCUGGUCACUUCUAUGAUGUCCGGUGGGCUCCACAGCCGGAAGAACUUGGCGUGCAAAGCUCAUGAAUGACUCAUAACCCAGGAGACCCAGAGCAAAGUUCCAGUUAGCGGAGUCUGAAAUCAUCUACCUUCCAUCUGCUCUUCGAGUAUUCUAUUUACUUGAAUUUCUUACAAUUUUCAUUCCCUUAAAUUUUUAUUUGUGUAUGCUUCAUUGUGAAACUUUAGAUUUGUCAGGUCUCAGGCAGCUCAUGUAACCAGAAAUGAGCGCAAGCUGGACUAUAGAAGGAUUUCUGGUAGAUAGAGAAAAGCCAGCAUUCUGUAGGAGGUUUUCUGUCCCCCAAGAGGAGUCCUUUCCCUUACCUCUGGCAGAACGGACAUAUGGCUCUGCAAUUCAUAUAUACCGAUGGUGACUAUCAGUAUAUCAAAGCACACACUGGCCUCCGGGCUCCCUUGGUAUCACAAAGACCAGUUAUACAUUUCGAAGUCUGCAUCCUAGCAUGGCAGCCUUUCUCAGCUCCUCCUCUAGCCUCCCUCCAGCUCGAGGGCUCCCUCUCUCAGUUACUCACUGUUCUUAUGAUUCACACUCUAGAUCUUGCUAGCCUCUUGCUGUCUCUCUAACUCCUUCCUCACUAUGCUCUCUCCUGCUCUGCUGCUUCCCUAGCCCUGCCUGUGCCCAGUCUGAUUUUCAUUCCAAUCUGACUGGAUUCUCUCAGAAUGGGGAAUUUUCUCUGGAUAUUUUCUCUCUCUUAUUCACAGUGCAAGCCUUCCUCUAAUAAUGGAUCAGUCAUGUCACACUUUCUUUACCUCAGCCCCUUUGAAUACCAUAUUCCCUUUAAGAUUUUUUUCGAGACAGUCUUGCUGAUGUAGCCCACAGUAGUGUGGAACUCAGGACUAUACUGCCUCCCUCCUGUAUAGUGGCACUACAUGCACGCACUGUGACACAAUUUGCACCCUAUAUGAUAGACUUAAUUUGAUUGUGUCAGGGUUAGGACUGUGCGUUUCCCUGGAUAGGCACUGAUGACUAGGGGAUGGGGAUAGACCCUCUAUGGUACCUCCAUGGUAGAAGAGAUCAAGGAGCAUGCCUCUUACAUCAGACAGUUAUUCCCUCUCAGCUCUUCAUGGAUGCCAUAUGCCUGCCCCUUCUCCUCCUCUUCUUCUUCCUCUUCUUCUUCCUCUUCUUCCUCCU